rnacentral:rRNA from 1 species
GAUGAACGCUGACAGAAUGCUUAACACAUGCAAGUCAACUUGAACUUCGGUUUGGGUGGCGGACGGGUGAGUAACGCGUAAAGAACUUGCCUCACAGUUAGGGACAACAUUUGGAAACGAAUGCUAAUACCUGAUAUUAUGAUUUUAGGGCAUCCUAGAAUUAUGAAAGCUAUAUGCGCUGUGAGAGAGCUUUGCGUCCCAUUAGCUAGUUGGAGAGGUAACGGCUCACCAAGGCGAUGAUGGGUAGCCGGCCCGAGAGGGUGAACGGCCACAAGGGGACUGAGACACGGCCCUUACUCCUACGGGAGGCAGCAGUGGGGAAUAUUGGACAAUGGACCAAGAGUCUGAUCCAGCAAUUCUGUGUGCACGAUGAAGUUUUUCGGAAUGUAAAGUGCUUUCAGUUGGGAAGAAAAAAAUGACGAUACCAACAGAAGAAGUGACGGCUAAAUACGUG